GAUGAAGAACGUAGCGAAAUGCGAUAAGUAGUGUGAAUUGCAGAAUUCAGUGAAUCAUCGAAUCUUUGAACGCACAUUGCGCCCCAUGGUAUUCCGUGGGGCAUGCCUGUUCGAGCGUCAUUUACCCCCUCAAGCUCCGCUUGGUGUUGGGCGUCUGUCCCGCUUCGCGCGCGGACUCGCCCCAAGGGUAUUGGCAGCGGUCGUGCCAGCUUCUCGCGCAGCACAUUGCGCUUCUCGAGGCACCGGUGGGCCCGCGUCCAUCAAGCUCACCCCCCCAGUUUGACCUCGGAUCAGGUAGGGAUACCCGCUGAACUUAAGCAUAUCAAUAGCGGAGGA
rnacentral:misc_RNA from 1 species